GGUCCAGACUCCUACGGGAGGCAGCAGUGGGGAAUAUUGCACAAUGGGGGAAACCCUGAUGCAGCGACGCCGCGUGAGUGAAGAGGUAUUUCGGUAUGUAAAGCUCUAUCAGCAGGGAAGAAGCAAGACGGUACCUGACUAAGAAGCCCCGGCUAACUACGUGCCAGCAGCCGCGGUAAUACGUAGGGGGCAAGCGUUAUCCGGAUUUACUGGGUGUAAAGGGAGCGUAGACGGAGAAGCAAGUCUGAAGUGAAAGCCCGUGGCUUAACUACGGGACUGCUUUGGAAACUGUUUGACUAGAGUGCUGGAGAGGUAAGUGGAAUUCCUAGUGUAGCGGUGAAAUGCGUAGAUAUUAGGAGGAACACCAGUGGCGAAGGCGGCCUGCUGGGCUUUUACUGACGCUGAGGCUCGAAAGUGUGGGGAGCAAACAGGAUUAGAUACCCUCGUA
rnacentral:rRNA from 1 species